AUGGUUGUCGUCAGCUCGUGCCGUGAGGUGUCGGCUUAAGUGCCAUAACGAGCGCAACCUCAUCAUAGUUACCAUCAGGUAAGGCUGGGGACUCUAAUGAGACUGCCAUCGUAAGAUGUGAGGAAGGUGGGGAUGACGUCAAAUCAGCACGGCCCUUACGUCCGGGGCGACACACGUGUUACAAUGGGUGGUACAAAGGGCAGCUACCUGGCGACAGGAUGCUAAUCUCCAAAACCACUCUCAGUUCGGAUCGGAGUCUGCAACUCGACUCCGUGAAGCUGGAUUCGCUAGUAAUCGCGCAUCAGCCACGGCGCGGUGAAUACGUUCCCGGGCCUU
rnacentral:rRNA from 1 species